CAUCCACUGGACACUCUGGGGCUUUUCUGAGCUUCAAGGCCCCACACAUCCCAGAUUCAGUCGUGGACGGCAACCCUUCAGAUUCACAAUGCAGAAAAACGAACUUUUUGGUGCAUAUGUUUAACAAGUAGUGCAAAAAUAUUUUGCCACUUUCAAAAGUAUUCAUUUUGCCUGUGAUUGCUAUGUCUGAAAUUGUGCAGAUCAAAAGAACAUAAUGGUUAUUUCAAAACUGUUUAUUCGGAAUUCAUAAGACUUGAAUAAAUACAAAGAUGUUGACUCAACCCUAGUUUUUAUUCUGUUUCUGCAAAUAAUUACCCUCUUACAGAAGCAUGAGCAACAAAUAUAAGCACAGCACAAAGAAGGAAUCGGUUAACUUUAGUAACCAUGAUUAAUAUUUAAAUAAUAAAUUCAUAAAAAGGAUUGGAAGACACACGUUUCUGGGUGAUUUGCACGUAGUACAAUUUUCAUUUUAAACAACACACAACCCAAAAUAUUUUUGACACUAUUAAAUAUAUUUUAAUAUCUUCAUUGUUGGUUUAUAAUAAUGCGAUAUGGACUUCCUCACCUUCUUGAAGACGUAUAAUUUCUUAUCUAAGAACCUUUUCCAGUUCUUACAGAAAAAAGUUAAUGAAGUGGAAGCUUCAUUAAUGCAAGCUAAGCUACUAAUAAGUCCUGAAACCCGCCCCGAUGACCAAGAACCUUCACCUUUAUAUCUUUAUCUAAAAAUACAUUUCAAUAGACUAUGUUGAAGAAGACAAUCCUCCAGUUGAAGCAUAACAUAAACAUUAUAAAUAAUCCUAAUGUAGAAGCGAUUUAUUCAUGCAUGUUUGUCACUGAGCUGCAUUUUUAUGUCAAGACAACCUCUUCAGCGUUUUCACCCUGCAGGUUUAUUAUUGUUUACACUAUUUUUCUUUUCUUCCUUCUUUCCCCAUUACACAUAUACCUUCAGUGUCAUGUUCUGUGUCCCUUUGUUCCCCAGCCCUCCAGUUCCCACUCCAGGUUCUCCUUUUGUGUUUCAUGGCGCCCUCAUGUGUCCUUUGUCUGCGUCUUUCCCCAUGUGUCUCCUAAUGUUUCUCCAUCCCUCUCUGGAUUCCCUUUUGUGUUCUCUUAGCGCCCUCAUGUGUCCUUUGUCUGCAUCUCUGUUGUGUGUCUUAAGUUAUAGCCACAGCCUCUUGUUCCCCAGUUCAUAGUUUGUGUGUCUCAGUAUGUGUAUGUGUUUGUGUGAGUUCUUCCCUUAGUCUUUAGGUUUAGUUUUGUGUUUUACAUAGUGUUAGGUUUAUCUGCCCUCCACUGGUUCUCUUCCCCAUCCAGAUAAUUGUUGUCACCUGCCUUCCCUCCAGCCUCACUCCACACACCUGCUUCCUGUUUCCCUAAUUGCUCCUCCCUGUUUAUAUAAGCCCUACUUGUCUCUGUGUUCUUGUCGGUCCAUUAAUGUUUGCUUGUUGUUCUUGUCAGCCUCGUCUCGUUCCUGUUCCUAGCUUCUAGUGAUUCCAGUGUUUUCCAGUGUUCCUAGUUCUCUGAAGUUUUUUGAUUACUCAGUUCAGAUUUUUUGGAUUUUUUGGUUUGGGCUCCCUGCUUCUUGGACUACUCCUAAUAAAGGAUUUUAUUUUCAUCAUCCACCUCCUGCCUCGUUCAUCUGGGUUCUGCAUCUUGGGUCCAAACCUCCUGCUCCUUAAUCGUGACAUUCAGUGCUUUAUAGCCUAGUUUAUGCUUCUGCGUCAGCUCCACGAGGGAGAGAUACACACACAUUGACUGAGACAUUUAGCCUUUGGACUUCUCGGUCACCUGAGGAGUGUUGAAAAGCAAUUCUCCACCAGGACAACAGAGGGCGUAGUGCUUUUCUAGGGUAUCAUGUAGAGCAUAACUAUUGUUUAUAUUAUGUUUUUGUAUUUCAGAGACUUUUUAACAGACAAAUUUGUCCCUCAUUCUCCUUCACCUCUUCAUGUGCUCUUUAGAGCUACCUCUAAACCCAUGUUUCUCCUCAUUUCCAUCCAUCCAUCCAUCCAUCCAUCCAUCCAUCCAUCCUCUUCCACUUAUCUGGAGUGGUUCAACAGCUUAAGUUGAGAAGACCAGACUUCCCUCUCCCCAGCCUUUUGGGCCAGCUCUUCCUGGCCAGGCGAGAGACAGUCGUGUCGUGGGUCUCCCUUUAGGUGAGACCCAGGACGUCAUUCACAUCCAUGAAUAAAAUGCUUGCUGCGUAUCUCUAUACUCCUCCAGCCACAGGUGACUAAAAAGUUAAUAUUUUGAAUUUUUCCAUGAGGUAUUUUUCAAUCUGCUCUGUAUAUGCCGCUAGAAAUCUUUUGCUCUCUUAAUUUACUUUGAGGGGCAAUGGCGGUGCUGUAGACAAAUUUAAAGGAAGCAGCAUCCAGGCCAAACACUGUCUCGUUCAUUGCAUGUUGAGAAAAGUGGGUUAGACUUUGUCAUUGGAGCCUGCUGGAGUGCCCUCGCGAUGACGAAUAUUGGUGUUACGAGUCUCCGCGUCGGCACAGAAGCAUAAAUUAGGCUUUACUCUUUGACUGCUGGAGACAGAUUGUUGCUCUUCCUGAAUAAAAUAUUUUAUAGGUUCCUUUGCAAAAAAAUGUGUUGAAGGGGUUGACUUCAACGCACAAUGUGUAAAAACAUGUGAGUUUUUAGAGCCAUGCAGUUCAAAGUAGGUACUGCAUCCUAUGGUAGUCCACAUGCAUCAAGAGGGCAGUAUCCUUGUGACGGAGUGCACACAGCUGCAGGAAAAAGCUACAGUUACUUCGGGGUUUUGCACACAGAAAACAGCACGCACCAGCUCUCAAACGUCUGUACGUUUUACUUACUUCUCACUCCAGUGCUGCCACUUCUGCCACGUCACUUGUCUCCCUUUCCUCCGCAACCGUGCACACACCACCACAGUUUUAAACGACUUCCAGCUUUCAGUUCAGCGAUCACAUGCAGUUGGAGCAGGGCAAGCAACCAAAGGGCAGAGAGCAGAAUUUCCCCAAACCAGCAAGACUGCUACAGCAAGAGCUGGCAUUAUCUCCCAUGCAAUGUUUGAAGGGAGGAGAACUUCCAUGAUGAAACGUGGAGCAUUAUAUCUUAUAUGCCCUUAACCAGCUACGAUAUUUCAGGAUGGUGCAUGACCAUGGAGCGUCGACCACCAUUUAUUUAUGUAAAUAUGUACGAUUUUAAGCCAAUAGGAACUUUUAGAAUGGACAUUGUUUGAAAAAGAACACAUUUGAGAAGGAGAUACACAGAAUUGUAUAGUAAAUAAGUUAAAAUAGUACACACUGUGAUUUUUAGAGACCAAGUUCACUCAUUCUUUCAACACAUUUGCAGCCAAAGUUAAACAUAAUUUUCAUUAAAGAAUAUUAUGUGAGAUAGGUCUGAUUUUUUUAUUCAAAAAGUCUUCAUUAAUUUUUUUUGCUUAAUAGUUCAAUGUAGAUGAAAAUGUUCUAACAGCCAGUUAAAGGGUUAAAUGAUAAAUUACCUGCACUUGUAUAGUGCCUUUCUGAGUUGGAGGACUUCAAAGCAUGCACCCUGCUCUACAGUCAGUCACAGAUUGAAGCUGGGUUUGAACUGGCAACCCAUCAGUCGCAGGACAAACUCUUUACCCAUGAACCACCAUCGCCCAAUACAAUCCACAGCUUUUGAACAAUUUACACAUUUUAUUUUAUAAAGACAAAGAGCCGUUACUGAACUGUUUCAAAUACCUAUAGAAUUUUGGUUUUUUGGUUUAGCUGAAUUUCACUAAAUCAAAUCCUGGAUUAUUAUAGACUCAAAUUAUUAAAAAAUAAACUGGACAAGACAUUAUUUAGAAGGAUAUAAAGUGAUCUUCUUUUAUAUAUAUAUAAUUUUUAAGAGCAUUCCAAUUUUGUGUCCAGUGAACUGCUGAUAUGAAAACUAAAGUAAUUUGAUUUCAUGUGUAUUUUAGAUUAAAUGUUCCCAUAAAUGCAAUGAAAUCUCUUUUAUAUCUUUAUGCUAUACCAGCUAUUUCAUUAAAUUUAUCCUUUUAGAACCAUUGCACAGCAACUCAGAUUAAAUUCUUUACUGAUCUAAUUUAUUUUCAUAAUUUUCUCAUAAGAUAAUAACUUUAUUGAAUACUUUCCACAAGUGAAUAAAUUUGUAAAUUUGAUUAACUCCAUCUUGAGAAAGAGAUAAGACAAAAAACAGACAAGAACAAAUUGCUAAUCAUUAUUCUACGUGACAAAUUAUUUUUUUUAAUUAUCUAAGUGACAGUAUGGUUGUUAAACAAUUUUGAAGUUAGUCUGCCAGAAAAACAAGUUCUAUGAACUGUUUUUAUUUAUUUAUUUUAGAAUUAAAACUAAAAUCUAUUUGAUGUAUUGGAUUAUAAUUUUAGAGAACAUGCUUGCAUGAUUAACUCUGAACUAUUUAUUCCAACCAGCAUGAGGGAGACAGUAAGGCAGAGCCAGCCGCUUUUCUAAUUGGUGCAUUUAUGUGGCUGACACUUCAAGUCGAAUGUCUUCAAUCACUUUCAGAUGGAGAAUCCAAUUCAUGUACAGUAUGUGCUCUGCACAUGCUAGCUAUUAACUUCCUCCGCUUGCCUAAUUACAGUCAUUCAUCCUUUAUCAAUGAGAAGUUGUGGAAAGCAGCUGCUAUCAGGUGGCUGUGUUCUCGUGUGCAUGCAAAAACACACACCUGUGUGAUGCUUUUACUUUUUGUGUGUGUGUUUCAUUUUAGUGAUCUGGUUCUGUGUUUCCAGUGCUCUCUGCCAGAUCACACUGCGUAGCACACCGAGUCUGUGUGCGUGGGUGAUGUGAUGUGCUGGAAUCUUUAUGAGGCUGCGCCUCUGACACUGAGUCGUACUUCACUUCUCUCCUCUGCUCUGCUUGGGCCUUCUCGAUGCAUCUCCAUUCCCCGCUCUCCAUUAUCUGUAAAGCAAUUGCACCACAGCACCGUGCCGCCUCCUACCAACCCGGCUUCACCCUUGACGAGUGCCUAAUUGGAUGUCAUCACUGGGAAUGAAAGACAGACUUGAACUGCUCCUGUUCAGCCCUGCAUUGAGAGCCAUCCAUCAGAUUUCAGCUGAUGGUCCACCGCUGGCUGCUCCUGUCACCGCCGCUCAGACGGGGCGACGCUCACACAACCGCCACGAGAAAGACUGCUGUGCGAUGAAAAGGGCACAUCGACUCAUAAUUGGAACUUCGCCCAUACUGAGCUUGAGACUAAUUAGCUGUGUAUCCAGAAGUGUGACUUCCAUACUAAUAGGAGAUAUUUUGUUUUGCAGCUGUUAAGCCGUCUGCAGGUUCACUCUUAGGUCAUGUUAGUUUCUUCCCUGAGCAACUCCAGCAAAAGGAGAGUGUCCAACCCCUCUCAAGGACUUGGGUUCCAGAGCCAAUGCUAUGUGUCGAGGUGAGUCCGACUAUAUCUAGCCGGUACCGCUCAACUUCUGCCACAAGCUCCUGCUCCUUCCCCGCCAGCGAGGUGACGUUCCAUGUCCCAAAAACCAGCUUUCUUGUCCGGGGAUUGGACCGCCAAGGCUCCCGCCUUGGUAUGCCACCCGAUCCACAUUGCACCGGACCCUUCAUGUUCCUCCUGUGGGUGGUGGGGCCACAAUUGGAUGAACCCAUGUAUCAGGUUCGGGCUGGGCCCGGACGGGCACCACGGGCGAAAGCCGGCCACCAGGCGCUCGCUCACGGGCCCCAACCCCAGGCCUGGCUCCAGGGUGGGACCCCGGUAACCCUGUGGGCCGGGUACUCUGACUCUUUGAAUUUACCUCCAUGAAAGAUCCUGUGAACCGUUCUUUGUCUCACCCUUCACCUAAGACCAGUUUGUCAUGGGAGACCCUACCAGGGGGACAAAGUGCCCCAGACAACAUAGCUCCUAGGAUCAUUAGGGCACUCAAACUCCUCCACCACGAUAAGGUGACGGUUCAAGGAGGAGAACACACAAAACCUAAAACUGCAAACCUUCACGCUGUCAAACGGGGAGCAAAACUAAAGGAAACAUGCUGAAAAAAGAAAAAAUACUAAACAUUUUUAAAGUUUUGGGACAUGAAUGUUAAUUUAGUCAUUUCAUUCAGCAGUUCUUGCAAGACAUAGACUAAUUUUAUCAGAAAAUGUGUAAAACUAGUGUCUAUUGUUUUAUCUGCUAGAAAACAAGAGGCUGGAUUAAUACAUGCUUAAAAUUUUGUUUGACUCAUAAACCUAAAGAGUAUUCUUGGUCAAAUCUGGCACAAAUGUUCUCAUUUUCAGGAAUAAAUAAAUAGUGGUCCAUGAGAGCCACUUUUCUGCAAGUUUUAGAUGUUUCCCUGCUCCUACACACUGAUUGAAAUUGCCUUCUCAUCAUAUCAAAUUCUGCAGAAGCAUUUUUAAUUGCUCAUUUAUUUAAAUCAGAUAUGUUGAAGCUGAGAAAAAUCAAAUAAUUGUAACGUACAGGUGAACCUUAAAAUUUUUGAAUAUUGUCCCAAUGGUAAUUUAUUUCAGUAACUCACCUUCAAAGGUGAAACUAACUUAACAGACUCAUUCCAUGCAAAGCCAGAUAUUUCAUGCCUUUAUUUGUUAUAACUGUGAUGAUUGUGGUGUACAGCUAAUGGAAACCCCACAUUCAGAAUAUCAGAUCAUUAGAAUAUUGUGAAAAGGUUCAAUAUUCUAGACUCAAAGUGUCACACUGUAAUAAGCUAAUGAAUCCAGAACAUCUGCAAAGGGUUCCUGAGUCUUUAGAUGGUCUCUCAGUCUAAACUGAAUAACUGAAAUAAAUAAACUUUUGCACUAAAAAUAAUCAAAUGUCAGAUUUAUUAGUUAGUUUUAGGAAAUCUAUUUGAUCAACUUCUGCUUACCCCACUGGCAGAUUUAUUCACUCAAAACAAGAAAAUUUAGAUCAUAUUUAAGAAUGAUGACUUUAUUUUAGGUAGUGCUGUUUGUCUAGAUACUUUUUUUUCUUUUUAGACUAAAGACUUGAUAGGCUUGUAAAAUAAGGUGGAACUAUUAGGCACAGUCCAUAGUUGAUUCAAAUCAUAUCUCCAAGUCAGGGGUUAUAUUGUUUCUAUUGGUGGUCACAAAGCAGAGCAGAUCACCAUGACCUGUGGGAUCCCCCAAGGUUCAAUUCUUGGACCACUGCUCAUCAGUCUCUAUAUGCUCUCCUGGGUCAGGUCAUACACAAUAACAACAUUACCUUUCAUAGUUACCCAGAUACCCAGGUGAUAUACCUCUAUCACCUAGUGAUUGUGGUCCCCUAGACUCACUCUGUCAGUGUUUGGAGCAAGUUAAUGACUGGAUGUAGUCAAAUUUCCUCCAGUUAUAUAAAGGCAAAACUGAGUUGUUGUCUUUGGAAAUAAGAAGGAUAGGAUGGAGGCUAUUGCUCAACGUGGUUCCAGAAAAAUAAAGACAAAGACCCAGGUUAGAAAUCUUGGUUUCAAAUUCGAUUCAGACCUGAGCUUCACUGGUCACAUUAGGGCUAGUUCAGCUUUUUAUCAUCUUCAUCAAAUAGCAAGACUCAGAGGUCUCAUGUCCAGAGGGGGCAGGUGUGGACCAAAAGAAAAGUUGUAUUUCCUACAAUAUGUCACAGUACAUGGUUAGACAAUCACUUUUUUAGAUUUCUGAAAAUUCAUACAUAGCUGAAUAGCAGUUUUAUGAUCACCUAUCUGUACCACCUGGUAGCUGACUUUCAUCACCUCUCCACCUGCUUCCAUUAGCCACUGAAGCAGCCGACUACUACAUUAGCCAUCUGAGCAGCCUCCUGCACCACUAAGCCCAAAAAUGUAAUGUCCUCUCACUCAGCCCUUUGGUUCACAGAUGACCUAAGGAGGUUGGAGUCUGCUGAACGACUUUGCAAGCUAUCCGCUCUCACUGUCCACAAGUAAGCCUACCAGGAGCACCAAAAUAAAUAUUCAAUUUCUGUCAAAGAGGCAAGAGCUCAGUUGUACUCAAAUGCCAUCAUAAAUAAUCCAGGAAAUUCCAAACAGCUUUUUUCAACUAUUAACCACCUAUUCGAUCUACACUCUCCUUCUCCUUCAUCUUCUUCUGGUUUCUGUGGUUCUCCCAGCAACAAAUCCAAAAAAUACCUGCAAAGACGUGCUUCUGCACACUCACUGCUCAUCCUUUAUGCACAACUGCAAGUACAGCAACCUCAAGGGAGCAUCACUCAGACUACUGAAGAGCAUCAGGAGGUGAUUACUGUGAUCCUGCCAUACGCUCCUUGUUCUCCGGUAAUGGAUUGGGCCACAGCCAUGCCUGUUGAGCUGAUGUUUUUAGAGUUUUAAUGGAGUGGUAAGUUGCAGUUAACAGUUCUACUGUUCUAUUUUUAGGAUUUGCACUCCCACAUGUUUUAACCACCAGUGGUCUCGAUCAGGAGAUCUAGCGAUCUCUUUUUUUGGAUUUCUCUUUCUGUCCAGUUCUUGCAGCCAGCCUUCACAGCACAUUGCACUUGAAAAAUGAAGAAAGUGGAGAACAGAAAAGGGAAGUGCUGGGACUGUUUCUGCAAGCUCCACCGCCGGUCUAUUUUUAGUUGAUCUCUUAUCGAUAAUACGAUGCUCCCUAAGGUUUCAUAAGCAACUGAGAUUCCUUUGUCUUGUUUAACUUUACCACCUUUCUGUCCGUCUCUUUCCUUUCCCUGCUCCAUAUUCCCCUCUCUACUCGUGUAGCCAAUACAAUAUUGAUGAGGCGGAUCGAUCAAAAGAGCAGCACCCUUACCCUCCAGCUGCUGUCGGUCAUCCAAUAUUCUGAUACAAGCAAUAAAUUGCUGCAGGUAAGGAUUUCCUCCACUUUUAGAUCCGUGUCCUAAGAAUAAAUUGUUCUGAUUGUUGAGACUUUAAUUGCUUUAAAUAUUUGAAGGUUAUGUUUGUUUUUACAUUCUCUGGCAUGAAGUCAUGUUCCUUUCUAAGUUGCACCCUCUUAGUUCCAUUUGCUGUUAUGAGUUGGAGUUUAAAUUUGUUUCUGGGGUCUCCAGAGACUUCACCACAGUAAGGAGCCUUGACUGCAGCAGCUAUAGAGCCUCAGUCAUCAUCAUAGAGGAUUAUGUUACUGUUGGUCUGGUACAGAGCAAUAUCAAUAACAAUCUUUGCACUACAUCUGUCUCAUGUGAAGUUUAACUCGAUACAAGGUGCUCUGAUGAUUGCCUUUCCCCUCUGAGACUCCAAACCGAGUUACAUUUUCAUCUUCGGCUGAGUUUUAGUACUGAAACUCUGAGUAUCUUAAUUAAAUGAGGUGAUCUGCCAAACAAAGCUGACACAGUGAAACAGAUUGGGUGGAGAGGUAAUUGUGGGAAAUUAAACUUGUAUUUUGUGGGCUGUACUGUUGUCAAAAAGAAGAAACAUUGAAUUGUUUUUGAAAGAGAUCAAGAUUCAAACAGUUAUUUUUGCAGUCAUAUAAUUAAAUUUGAACUUGAAUAUGUUGUUGUUGUUUUGCAGCUGUAAAACAUCAUUUGUGUCUAAUUUUCAAAGUAUGCAUGAAGUAAUCUUUCCCUCAAGGUUUUGUUUUUUACUUGCUUGCUAAUGAGCUGUUAAGAUCAUUAUUUGUGGUUUUCUUUCUUUCAUAAUUUCAUCACGACAGUUAGAACAUGUUGAAGUUAAAAAUUAAAAUGUUGUGUUUAUUAAUGUUUUAGUCAAUGUCCAACUAUAUCAGAGGAAUUCUGCUUGGAGUCAGCAUGUCACCCGAUGUUUUAUUUAAACAUUCUUGUGUUUCACAAAUAUGUGUUAAUGCUCCAGAUUAUUGUUUUUUUUUUCUUUUUAUUACUAAGAAACAUAAGACGGAACACGGUAAACUCAAAAGAA